rnacentral:rRNA from 1 species
AGAGUUUGAUCCUGGCUCAGAUUGAACGCUGGCGGCAUGCUUUACACAUGCAAGUCGAACGCGAAAGGGGGCAACCCUGAGUAGAGUGGCGCACGGGUGAGUAAUGCAUCGGAACGUAUCCAGUAGUGGGGGACAACCAGUCGAAAGAUUGGCUAAUACCGCAUACGCUGGUGACAGGAAAGCGGGGGACCCUGAGCAGA